GGAUAGCUCAGUUAGUAGAGCAUGAGACUCUUAAUAUCAGGGUCACGGGUUAAAGGCCUGUGUUGGGCA